rnacentral:rRNA from 1 species
UACAGAGGUCCCAAGCGUUAUUCGGAAUCACUGGGCUUACAGGGUGCGUAGGCGGCUUGUUAAGUAGGGUGUGAAAGCCCCCGGCUCAACCGGGGAAUGGCGCCCUAAACUGGCGAGCUGGAGUGAGAUAGGGGUGUGCGGAACUUCCGGUGGAGCGGUGAAAUGUGUUGAUAUCGGAAGGAACGCCGGUGGCGAAAGCGGCACACUGGAUCUCAACUGACGCUGAGGCACGAAAGCCAGGGGAGCGAACGGG